GGAAAGAGCUGUUGGGUCUGAGCGGGCAGGCGAAGGCGAAAGGGUCUGGGACUACAAGGUUUAGCUCCCAGCCAGAGCAGGGGAAAGGAACGACUGUUUGCCAUCUGGGUGUAAUUCUAACCUCUCUGCACGCCCAGCCCGACUCGUGGCUUCAGCCGCACUUGUCCUCCUGCCUCGCCCACUAGCAACAGGCUGGCAGGUCGGGAGGCCCCUGGUGCCCAUGGUGCUCUUGUCCGUGGGGCUUGGGUGCAUCUGGGCCCCGCCUACAAGUGGGCCCGGUGCAUCUCCCUAGUUCAGGCUCUGCAGCCUGACAAGGCACUGAAAUAGCAAUUAAGCCAACUAAGUAUUGGCCCAGGUGGUUCACAAAAGACUUUUUUUUUUCUUUUAGUUAAAUCUGCAUAAAGUUGGAUGCAGUCGUUUUAUCGGCGAA
rnacentral:antisense_RNA from 1 species